CAGUAGCAGGCGUACUGUCUAGGGGACGGCUGCUCCAUUUGUGCACCCUGCUCUAGGAGGAGGAGGUGGAUGUGGAGUAGGAAGUUGAGGAGGUGGUGACCGUGGCGGCAACAGCGCAUUCGGAUAUCUGCAAUUUCAACUUUUGAUGUUACUUUCUGUGCCUACCAUGUUGACCACGGGUAACGGGGAAUCAGGGUUCAAUUCCGGAGAGGGAGUCUGAGAAACGGCUAACACAUCCAAGGAAGGUAGCAGGCGUGCAAAUUACCCACUCCCGACACGUGGAGGUAGUGA